CCUAGUUCCUAUUUGAUUUUUUCGUAAUAAAUAAUCUUUUUUCUCAAUAGAUUCUUUCCAGAUUUCAAUGCUAUUAUAAAUAUGGACGGUUCCAUUUCCCCUUCUUUUACUGUUCACUACUUUAUUCUUGAACUACUUAUAUUAUAUCUCAUUUACCAGUUAUUUGCUCAUUCUUUUACAGCUGAGUACUAUGCUAUAAUCGAAGUGCUAACUCUUAACUCUUACUUUUUGCCUAACAAGUUCUUAAUCGCCUCGGACUCAAUGUUAUGUUUCCAAUCUUUUAGUUCCAGUCUUUUUAAUUUACUUAUAUCUUAUUCAGCCUCUGUCAAUAAGAUUUUGUCAUUCAGUUUCUGUGGGUUUCCAGACAUAUAUAAGCUAACCAUUCGGGGUACCUAAUUAGCAGUGCUAGGAUUUAUAUGCAACAGCAUGUUUUUUUGCGACAUCUGGUUAUUGAUUUUGUAAGUAAUUUCCACGAAUCACCUCAUGAUGAGAUAAGUGGCUGUGUUUUUAUUUUGCAUGUUUUUGCAUAUUUUCGAUAAAAUGCAUAUUAUUGCAUAUAUUGAAUAAAACGAAUAUUAUUGCAUAUUUCGAUUAUAAGAAUGCAAAAAGUGCAUGUUUCGCAG